GCCAUGGAAAAUGAUGCUACCAUGUGGGGAACACCUUACGAUGCUAGGCUACACACAUCUUGCAAGGAUUAUAUCAAUAGCCUAAUAGUUCGUGUGUGUGUGUGUGUGUGUGUGUGUGUGUGUGUGUGUGUGUAAAUAUAUAAAUAAAUAAAUAAGUAAAUAAAUAAAUAUAUGAAAUAAAAAAAUAAUAAAGCAUGACCCAUGCUGCGUGCAACACCAUCGUUGGUACCGUUAGUACCGAUACCAGUACCAGAGUGUGUUGGCCCUUUCUCUCUGACUACUUACUUUCUACAUGAAAAAUCAGUAUAUAGGUAUUAUGAAAAGACUCAUUAUCUAAUAACACUAGCAGCAGAUAUUAGCAAAGUUCUGGCACCAACUUUUCCUAUCUAUUGUACAUACUGACAGCAUAUAUGGUCCCGGUACUACUGGUACUGGAGUUCUCAGGACCAGUAUUAUCGGGCGUAGGGUAUCGGAAAAGCCGCCAAAUUUUUCCACUCUGCCCGGGAAUCAAACCCGGGCUCUCUCAGUUGUGAGCCGAGUGUGCUAACCACUGCACCACAAAGCCCCCGAGGCGAGGAGGAGGGUAAAGGUGGGGGCAGUGAAGGGAACUGUAGGGAGAUUAACAGGUGACACAACAGUCUGGAGAGGAUGGUAAAGGUGGGGGCAGUGAAGGGAACUGUAGGGAGAUUAACAGGUGACACAACAGUCUGGAGAGGAUGGUAAAGGUGGGGGCAGUGAAGGGAACUGUAGGGAGAUUAACAGGUGACACAACAGUCUGGAGAGGAGGAGGGUAAAGGUGGGGGCAGUGAAGGGAACUGUAGGGAGAUUAACAGGUGACACAAUAGUCUGGAGAGGAGGAGGGUAAAGGUGGGGGCAGUGAAGGGAACUGUAGGGAGAUUAACAGGUGACACAACAGUCUGGAGAGGAGGGUAAAGGUGGGGGCAGUGAAGGGAACUGUGGGGAGAUUAACAGGUGACACAACAGUCUGGAGAGGAGGAGGGUAAAGGUGGGGGCAGUGAAGGGAUCCGUAGGGAGACGCACUGGUGGAAAGUUAACAAUUAUUUUACGAUUUUUUCACCUCUUAUAACGGACUUUUAGCACAUUAACCCGGUAGCAGUGACGGGCCAAAUUUGUGGCUUUACCGUGUAGCAGCGACGGGCCAAAUUUGUGGCUUUACCGUGUAGCAGCGACAGGCCAAAUUUGUGGCUUUACCGUGUAGCAGCGACGGGCCAAAUUUGUGGCUUUACCGUGUAGCAGCGACGGGCCAAAUUUGUGGCUUUACCAUGUAGCAGCGACGGGCCAAAUUUGUGGCUUUAUCGUGUAGCAGCGACAGGCCAAAUUUGUGGCUUUACCGUGUAUCAGCGACAGGCCAAAUUUGUGGCUUUACCGUGUAGCAGCGACGGGCCAAAUUUGUGCCAUGAUAUCAACCCCCAAAUUAGAUGAUACAUAAUCUGAUCACAAAUGCUUUGAUAUAUAUUUUGAAAUGGUUUGUGUGAGGGGUGAUUUUUUCUCGUUUUCUCACUUAGAGGGACCAUUAAGAAACAUGAUCCCCGCUGCUACCAGGUUAAUGGACUAAAGUUCCCCCCAAUUAGUCUGUUAUAUCGAGGGUUCACUGUAUUUUGUUACGGACGCUUUGAAUGAGUUGAAAUAGGCGGAGCAAAGCAUCCAUGGUUUAGUUAGAUAGAAGUAUAUAUGGAAAAAUGGCCAAUAUAAAAUGAACUCAAAUCCAGUACGGCAGGCAGUAUUCAUUAUAUAUAUAUAUAUUUUUUUAUAACAAAGGAGGCAGCUCAAGGGCACACACAAAAAGAAAACAAUAAUAAAAAAAAAGCCCGCUACUCGCUGCUCCUAAAAAAGAAACAAAAGAGAAAAAGGGUAACAUGCAAGGGUUAUGUUCUGCAAAAAGUUCGCAUAAUGUGAAUUCGCAUAUAUGGAACCUAUCAUCCCAUUAAUUACAGGGGGUUAUGUUCCACGACCCGUUUCAGAUCCCUCUAACUAUUUAUUCCGGCGCCGUUUCACAAUAAUAAAGCACUAAAGAUUGCUUCCAGGGAGUCGCACCCUAAGUCUACGAUUUAAGCUGAUAAUUAGCUACCUGAGGAUUAACUUUAUGAUCAGAGGGAGGAAAAGAUUAAUUAUAGGCGAGGAAAGUGCGGGAAAAUAUUUGCACCCUCUAAAGUGUCACCAAACCUCACCAGCACCAGCGCCGAUACUUGCAUAAUAACGAUUUUUUCUCACAUAAAACGAAUACUUGGCACAUUUAGGUUAGUCGCAUAUGAGCGAAUUCGCAUAUUUCGAACUUGCAUUUAUCAAAUACCCGGUGUGUAUGGAAAAUGGCCAAUAUUAAGUGAACUCAAAUCCAGCAUACUACAAGUAGCUGAAUGCAAGAAACAAUAAGCACCAGCCUUUCUUGGCCUGCUCAAAGCCAAGCGAGGGAAAGUCUUCAUCCUCCCAUGGUUUUGUGGUCCAAGCCUGACCUUUCCCGUUCAUCAGCACCCACGGGUCAGAGCCAACAGGCUUUGUCCGAGUUCUGUAAGAAAUAUGCCGGGUUAUUUAUUUAUUUAUUUUUUUUUUUUUUACGUCGUGGCCUAUUGCGCUGGUAGGCUUCUUCCCGGUGGAUCCUGAUG